CGGCGGGCGCAGGGACGCGCGCGUGAAGCCAACCGGCGCCGGGGAAGCCAGCUUCCUAGUGGACGGCAGAGCAGCCGCGAGGCAGCAAGAGGCACGGCAACGCCAACCACCAAUCUUACUCUGCGUCCCCGCCGGCCUCUCCUGCGCGUACCCCGCCGGCGUCCGCCGCUCCCCUUCCGGCCACUCGCGGGCUGCUCCGGUUGCGUCUCUUCCAAGGGGACGGAGUAGGGUGAGGGAGGCGGCUGGGCGAUGUUCCGCUGUCCGCCACACCGCCGCCGCCGCCGCCGUAACUGCUCGCCGACCUACAUCUCCGGCUCCGCCUCUCUCCCGCUUCGAUUCGCCUCGUGAGGCGGCUCCAGGGUUGCUGUUAUGAAGGGAAAGCCGGCGGACUUUGUUGCUCGGUGUUGGUGUGAGCCAGUGACCUCCAACCACGGUGAUAAAAUUCUCUUCGCUUGACUUGGACACAAUAUAUUCAAGGAUCAUAUCAUGAACUUGGCAAGUCUUCACCUUGCCAUUGGUGCUGUGUUCCACUGGCCGGACUAUAUUUCUACUGAUGAGCUCAUUGAAACUGUCUUCAGCAACUUAACUGUUUUCCCAUCCUUCUCAGCAAUGAAACCUUCAGAUAUCCAUCGCCUGAUUAAUCGCUUCCUGUUGAUGCUGCAACCUUUCGGGAAUAUGCUCAAGUACAACAAACAAUUCUUCUGAUCAGCUGGUAAAUCAUUGUAGCAGAGAUUAAGAAUUUGUGUCACGCCCUCAGGACUAAGAUUUUUAUCCAACUCUGAAUUUAGAGACUCUUUCACUGUUCUCCAAUGGCUCUCUUCUGUCAGAUCUCUUCUGGCUAAGAGCCCUGCCACCGCAACUAAUGCCAAAGCAUGGCCGUCUGAGGUGCCACGGCCACCUUUACCCUCGGGAUCCUGCUGCGGCAUGACCUGCUUCAGGAUGUCUCUCAGCAGUGAUGGCAGAUUCAGCUUUUGUGAUGCCUGCACCCACGCCCGGGAAUCAAACUUCUCCCCAAAUCUGCGCUGCAGUGCCAGCGCCAUCGUCGUCUUGCCAAGCCCACCAAAUCCAACAAUGGCGAGAACCCUCACACCACCCUCCGACUCUGUCACCCACUGCCCAUGCUUCAUAAUGGCAUCCUCCUGCCCCACUGGCUCGGUUGUACCCACGAGCUGCGGUGCAGGAGGUUGCAGGUGAUCUGUGGCGUACGGGCGUGCCGGUCCACUUGGCUUGAUGCCAGAGACGGACUCGGAGUUUUCUUUGGGGUCCUGCACGCCGUACCUCGUGCGGCGCUCCCCGACUUCCUGUGCUCGGUUCUUGAGGUCGAUGAUCCUGGAGGCGAUGUCCCGGCGUGCCCAGAGCGUGGUCAUGGUGUACCAUGCGCAGCUGACGUUGAAGAGGAGGCCCUCCCCACGGGGCUGGUGGUUGAGGCGGUGCGCGAAGUCGUCCACGCAGUCCUCGAUGUCGUAGGCGACAUCGCGGACCUGCUCGAUCCAGCCCUUGGUCUGCUCAUCGUGAGCAGCUCCAGCUGCAGCUACCCGGCUGAGCUUGCGGAGGAAGGCGUACAUGCUGGAGAGCUCGUUGUUCAUGUACUGGAUCUCGCUGCGGACGCUGCUGAUGAGCUUGUACUCCUGGGCGAGGAGGCUGCCGCGUUUGCCAAGCAGCGAUCUCAUGGCGCUCUCGGAGGCGCCCACGGCGAGCUCCAUGCUGGUUCGGCGUUGGCUGAUCUUCUGUAUAUUCCACGUGCGCUUCACAAGAAUUCCACGUGCAUAUUUUUAUAUUCACGAAUGGCAUCAAAUUUGCAGUUUAAACUUUGUA